rnacentral:rRNA from 1 species
GACGAACGCUGGCGGCGUGCUUAACACAUGCAAGUCGAACGGAAAGGCCCUGCUUUUGUGGGGUGCUCGAGUGGCGAACGGGUGAGUAACACGUGAGUAACCUGCCCUUGACUUUGGGAUAACUUCAGGAAACUGGGGCUAAUACCGGAUAGGAGCUCCUGCUGCAUGGUGGGGGUUGGAAAGUUUCGGCGGUUGGGGGUGGACUCGCGGCUUAUCAGCUUGUUGGUGGGGUAGUGGCUUACCAAGGCUUUGACGGGUAGCCGGCCUGAGAGGGUGACCGGCCACAUUGGGACUGAGAUACGGCCCAGACUCCUACGGGAGGCAGCAGUGGGGAAUAUUGCACAAUGGGCGGAAGCCUGAUGCAGCAACGCCGCGUGCGGGAUGACGGCCUUCGGGUUGUAAACCGCUUUCGCCUGAGACGAAGCGUGAGUGACGGUAAUGGGUAAAGAAGCACCGGCUAACUACGUG